GCUCUAGAGAUAGAGUUUUCCCCUUCGGGGGACAAAGUGACAGGUGGUGCAUGGUUGUCGUCAGCUCGUGUCGUGAGAUGUUGGGUUAAGUCCCGCAACGAGCGCAACCCUUAAGCUUAGUUGCCAUCAUUAAGUUGGGCACUCUAAGUUGACUGCCGGUGACAAACCGGAGGAAGGUGGGGAUGACGUCAAAUCAUCAUGCCCCUUAUGAUUUGGGCUACACACGUGCUACAAUGGACAAUACAAAGGGCAGCUAAACCGCGAGGUCAAGCAAAUCCCAUAAAGUUGUUCUCAGUUCGGAUUGUAGUCUGCAACUCGACUACAUGAAGCUGGAAUCGCUAGUAAUCGUAGAUCAGCAUGCUACGGUGAGUACGUUCCCGGGUCUUGUACACACCGCCCGUCACACCACGAGAGUUUGUAACACCCGAAGCCGGUGGAGUAACCAUUUAUGGAGCUAGCCGUCGAAGGUGGGACAAAUGAUUGGGGUGAAGUCGUAACAAGGUAGCCGUAUCGGAAGGUGCGGCUGGAUCACCUCCUU
rnacentral:rRNA from 1 species